rnacentral:rRNA from 2 species
UAGAGUUUUGAUCAUGGCUCAGGAUGAACGCCGGCGGUGUGCCUAAUACAUGCAAGUCGAACGCGUUGGCCCAAUUGAUUGAUGGUGCUUGCACCUUGAUUGAUUUUGGUCGCCAACGAGUGGCGGACGGGUGAGUAACACGUAGGUAACCUGCCCAGAAGCGGGGGACAACAUUUGGAAACAGAUGCUAAUACCGCAUAACAGCGUUGUUCGCAUGAACAACGCUUAAAAGAUGGCUUCUCGCUAUCACUUCUGGAUGGACCUGCGGUGCAUUAGCUUGUUGGUGGGGUAACGGCCUACCAAGGCGAUGAUGCAUAGCCGAGUUGAGAGACUGAUCGGCCACAAUGGGACUGAGACACGGCCCAUACUCCUACGGGAGGCAGCAGUAGGGAAUCUUCCACAAUGGGCGCAAGCCUGAUGGAGCAACACCGCGUGAGUGAAGAAGGGUUUCGGCUCGUAAAGCUCUGUUGUUAAAGAAGAACACGUAUGAGAGUAACUGUUCAUACGUUGACGGUAUUUAACCAGAAAGUCACGGCUAACUACGUGCCAGCAGCCGCGGUAAUACGUAGGUGGCAAGCGUUAUCCGGAUUUAUUGGGCGUAAAGAGAGUGCAGGCGGUUUUCUAAGUCUGAUGUGAAAGCCUUCGGCUUAACCGGAGAAGUGCAUCGGAAACUGGAUAACUUGAGUGCAGAAGAGGGUAGUGGAACUCCAUGUGUAGCGGUGGAAUGCGUAGAUAUAUGGAAGAACACCAGUGGCGAAGGCGGCUACCUGGUCUGCAACUGACGCUGAGACUCGAAAGCAUGGGUAGCGAACAGGAUUAGAUACCCUGGUAGUCCAUGCCGUAAACGAUGAGUGCUAGGUGUUGGAGGGUUUCCGCCCUUCAGUGCCGGAGCUAACGCAUUAAGCACUCCGCCUGGGGAGUACGACCGCAAGGUUGAAACUCAAAGGAAUUGACGGGGGCCCGCACAAGCGGUGGAGCAUGUGGUUUAAUUCGAAGCUACGCGAAGAACCUUACCAGGUCUUGACAUCUUGCGCCAACCCUAGAGAUAGGGCGUUUCCUUCGGGAACGCAAUGACAGGUGGUGCAUGGUCGUCGUCAGCUCGUGUCGUGAGAUGUUGGGUUAAGUCCCGCAACGAGCGCAACCCUUGUUACUAGUUGCCAGCAUUAAGUUGGGCACUCUAGUGAGACUGCCGGUGACAAACCGGAGGAAGGUGGGGACGACGUCAGAUCAUCAUUGCCCCUUAUGACCUGGGCUACACACGUGCUACAAUGGACGGUACAACGAGUCGCGAACUCGCGAGGGCAAGCAAAUCUCUUAAAACCGUUCUCAGUUCGGACUGCAGGCUGCAACUCGCCUGCACGAAGUCGGAAUCGCUAGUAAUCGCGGAUCAGCAUGCCGCGGUGAAUACGUUCCCGGGCCUUGUACACACCGCCCGUCACACCAUGAGAGUUUGUAACACCCAAAGUCGGUGGGGUAACCUUUUAGGAGCCAGCCGCCUAAGGUGGGACAGAUGAUUAGGGUGAAGUCGUAACAAGGUAGCCGUAGGAGAACCUGCGGUUGGAUCACCUUCCUUAAA